AUCGUGCGGCACCGCUUAUAAUCCGUGUUGCUCAUAAGCCUCUUAGCACCAUAGGCUUGUUACUACUCUGUAGUUUAAGAGCGUCAACAUAAGCGUAGACGAAAAGAAUAUCUUAGCACCCUUUCUGAAUAUCGCAUUUUACGGUAUUGCGAGGGUCGGGAAUUCAUACAUUC
rnacentral:snoRNA from 1 species